rnacentral:rRNA from 1 species
AACGAACGCUGGCGGCAGGCCUCAAACAUGCAAGUCUAGGGGGUAGCAAUACCACCGGCGGACGGGUGCGUAACGCGUGGGAACAUACCUUUCGGUACGGAACAACCCAGGGAAACUUGGGCUAAUACCGUAUACGCCCUUACGGGGAAAGAUUUAUCGCCGAAGGAUUGGCCCGCGUUCGAUUAGCUUGUUGGUGAGGUAAAGGCUCACCAAGGCUACGAUCGAUAGCUGUUCUGAGAGGAAGAUCAGCCACACUGGGACUGAGACACGGCCCAGACUCCUACGGGAGGCAGCAGUUGGGAAUCUUGGACAAUGGGGGAAACCCUGAUCCAGCCAUGCCGCGUGAGUGAUGAAGGCCUUCGGGUUGUAAAACUCUUUCGACGGGGACGAUAAUGACGGUACCCGUAGAAGAAGCUCCGGCUAACUUCGUGCCAGCAGCCGCCGUAA